UGAGAUUUUCUAUACGUGCAUCUAUAGUAUCCCCUGUACCAGAAAAAAAGAAAAGAAAUUAUAAUAUUAAAAGAAAUUAUAAUAUACUGACUUUGUUUUCUCGUACGAUAUGAAUUUAUGAUUAUAAAAGUUUGGUACUUGUGUAAUACUACUAUGUUUCUGUCACAUUUCCGGGCACAAGUUUGUCGGUGAUUAAUAAAUGAACACGUUAAGUUCAGGAACUAUGCAGAGGUAAUUUACGAGACUAACCUUGGAAACUUGGCUCCGAGGAUAUCCUUUUGGCCGUACUUUCUCCAACUGAACCCAUCGUCAAGAGUUCUAUCAAUCUCAGCUCCAGGGGUAAUUCUGACUUUUUCGGUCCACCUUGGCAUUGACUUCUUUGAACUUCAAAAUUUCACAUUUCAAAUAGUUAGGAGUUUAUAUAU